CCAUCAGAUACUGUGAGCUUGCACUCAGUGCCAUCAUGAGACUGAGGUGAUUCCAGGACAUUCGAGGUGUCUUCUGCUCAGUCCUUCAGUCCAUCCAGCCUGAAGAACUCCAAAGAGAGGAGAAUAUUGCUGUGUGAGGUGUUGUUUAUUCCCAGUGAAAGAGAUGGUUCCUGGACAAGGAAAGAGCAAUUUGAUAGCCUUUCCAUCCCUCAGCCUUUCUUUACAUGACAGAACUAUUGGC
rnacentral:lncRNA from 1 species